CUACGGGGGGCUGCAGUGAGGAAUAUUGCACAAUGGGGGGAACCCUGAUGCAGCAAUGCCGCGUGGAGGAUGACGCAUUUCGGUGUGUAAACUCCUUUUAUAUGUCAAGAAAAUGACGGUAGCAUAUGAAUAAGCACCGGCUAACUCCGUGCCAGCAGCCGCGGUAAUACGGAGGGUGCAAGCGUUACUCGGAAUCACUGGGCGUAAAGGACGCGUAGGCGGGUUGGAAAGUCAGGUGUGAAAUCCUAAAGCUUAACUGUAGAACUGCACUUGAAACUUCUAAUCUAGAGUAUGGGAGGGGGAGAUGGAAUUAGUGGUGUAGGGGUAAAAUCCGUAGAUAUCACUAGGAAUACCUAAAGCGAAGGCGAUCUCCUGGAACAUUACUGACGCUAAGGCGUGAAAGCGUGGGGAGCAAACAGGAUUAGAUACCCCCGUAGUC
rnacentral:rRNA from 1 species